GCUGCAUGGCUGUCGUCAGCUCGUGUCGUGAGAUGCUGGGUUAAGUCCCGCAACGAGCGCAACCCUCGCCAUUAGUUGCCAGCAUUUAGUUGGGCACUCUGAUGGAACUGCCGGUGAUAAGCCGGAGGAAGGUGGGGAUGACGUCAAGUCCUCAUGGCCCUUAUGGGCUGGGCUACACACGUGCUACAAUGGCGGUGACAGAGAGCAGCGAAGGGGUGACCCUUAGCAAAUCUCUAAAAGCCGUCUCAGUUCGGAUUGUUCUCUGCAACUCGAGAACAUGAAGUUGGAAUCGCUAGUAAUCGCGGAUCAGUAUGCCGCGGUGAAUACGUUCCCGGGCCUU
rnacentral:rRNA from 1 species